rnacentral:rRNA from 1 species
GGGGACGUGCGGCGUGCCUAUACAUGCAGUCGAACGAACUCUGGUAUUGAUUGGUGCUUGCAUCAUGAUUUACAUUUGAGUGAGUGGCGAACUGGUGAGUAACACGUGGGAAACCUGCCCAGAAGCGGGGGAUAACACCUGGAAACAGAUGCUAAUACCGCAUAACAACUUGGACCGCAUGGUCCGAGUUUGAAAGAUGGCUUCGGCUAUCACUUUUGGAUGGUCCCGCGGCGUAUUAGCUAGAUGGUGGGGUAACGGCUCACCAUGGCAAUGAUACGUAGCCGACCUGAGAGGGUAAUCGGCCACAUUGGGACUGAGACACGGCCCAAACUCCUACGGGAGGCAGCAGUAGGGAAUCUUCCACAAUGGACGAAAGUCUGAUGGAGCAACGCCGCGUGAGUGAAGAAGGGUUUCGGCUCGUAAAACUCUGUUGUUAAAGAAGAACAUAUCUGAGAGUAACUGUUCAGGUAUUGACGGUAUUUAACCAGAAAGCCACGGCUAACUACGUGCCAGCAGCCGCGGUAAUACGUAGGUGGCAAGCGUUGUCCGGAUUUAUUGGGCGUAAAGCGAGCGCAGGCGGUUUUUUAAGUCUGAUGUGAAAGCCUUCGGCUCAACCGAAGAAGUGCAUCGGAAACUGGGAAACUUGAGUGCAGAAGAGGACAGUGGAACUCCAUGUGUAGCGGUGAAAUGCGUAGAUAUAUGGAAGAACACCAGUGGCGAAGGCGGCUGUCUGGUCUGUAACUGACGCUGAGGCUCGAAAGUAUGGGUAGCAAACAGGAUUAGAUACCCUGGUAGUCCAUACCGUAAACGAUGAAUGCUAAGUGUUUGGAGGGUUUCCGCCCUUCAGUGCUGCAGCUAACGCAUUAAGCAUUCCGCCUGGGGAGUACGGCCGCAAGGCUGAAACUCAAAGGAAUUGACGGGGGCCCGCACAAGCGGUGGAGCAUGUGGUUUAAUUCGAAGCUACGCGAAGAACCUUACCAGGUCUUGACAUACUAUGCAA